rnacentral:tRNA from 1 species
GUCAGGAUGGCUGAACAGUCUAAGGCACUGCGUUCAGGUUGCAGUCUCCCCUGGCCAUGCGGGUUCAAAUCCCACUUCUGACA